rnacentral:lncRNA from 10 species
GGAAGGAGUUCCCGUGAUGCUGUCAUUCAGAUGCCCGCCUGGCUGAUCCCCCAGAGGGGACUUGGGCUCCUCUUAGCAUCGACAGGCUGGUAUAAACCCCUGGCUCAGAUCGAGCUAUGCCCGGUGCUGCCUUAAGCCUUAGGAGGUCGCCACGGAACCGCAGAGAUUGUCCAAGAAACCUGAACAACAGAAGGAUGUAAGAUAGACAAGAGAGAAAGAGAGAGAGAGAUCGAGAGUCCGGUCUUCCGGAAACCAAGGCUUAGCU